rnacentral:tRNA from 1 species
GCGGAUGUGCCGGAGCGGUCAAACGGGCUAGCCUAAGGAGCUAGUGGCUUAGUGCCUACGCAGGUUCGAUCCCUGUCAUCCGCA